rnacentral:rRNA from 1 species
GAUGAACGCUAGCUACAGGCUUAACACAUGCAAGUCGAGGGGAAACGACAUCGAAAGCUUGCUUUUGAUGGGCGUCGACCGGCGCACGGGUGAGUAACGCGUAUCCCACCUGCCCAUCACUUGGGAAUAACCUUGCGAAAGUAAGACUAAUACCCAAUGAUAUCCCACGAAGGCAUCGGAAUGGGAUUAAAGAUUUAUCGGUGAUGGAUGGGGAUGCGUCUGAUUAGCUUGUUGGCGGGGUAACGGCCCACCAAGGCAACGAUCAGUAGGGGUUCUGAGAGGAAGGCACACCACAUUGGAACUGAGACACGGUCCAAACUCCUACGGGAGGCAGCAGUGAGGAAUAUUGGUCAAUGGGCGAGAGCCUGAACCAGCCAAGUAGCGUGCAGGAAGACGGCCCUAUGGGUUGUAAACUGCUUUUAUAAGAGAAUAAAGUGGGUCACGUGUGACUUUUUGCAUGUACCUUAUGAAUAAGGACCGGCUAAUUCCGUG